AUUUCAUUGUGCAUUCAGUCAGUUGUUUAAUUUGUCUGAUUGUUAGGAUUGUGCAGGGCUAGGGUGUGUGCCUUCGUUGUCUCCUUUUCGGCCACCCUAAACCCUCGUUUUCAUUUAGUAUUAAUUCAACCCAUUGUAUGUUUUAUUUUGCUUUAAUUUCAAAUCACUCAUCAAUAAACAAGUGAUUGCCUGAUAACAUCGGCUCAAUGUUACUCCCUUUACCCCUACACCAACUCCGGGUUGUAACACUCCCUAAUAAUGACACUGGCAAUAAAUAACACUGUACCCUAAAUUAUAACCACAUUGAACUCUUUCUUCUUAUAAACA